GUACUUGCUUCAGCGGCACAUAUACUAAAACUGGAAUGACAAGGAGAAGAUUAGCAUGGCCCCUGCAUGAGGAUAACAUGCAAAUUUGUGAAGAAUUUCAUAUUAAA
rnacentral:snRNA from 1 species